UACGUAGGUGGCAAGCGUUGUCCGGAUUUACUGGGCGUAAAGAGCGCGCAGGCGGUUGAUUAAGUCGAAUGUGAAAGCCCCCGGCUCAACUGGGGAGGGUCAUUCGAUACUGAUCGACUUGAAGGCAGGAGAGGGAAGUGGAAUUCCGGGUGUAGUGGUGAAAUGCGUAGAUAUCCGGAGGAACACCAGUGGCGAAGGCGACUUCCUGGGACGGUACUGACGCUGAGACGCGAAAGCGUGGGGAGCGAACAGG
rnacentral:rRNA from 1 species